CAGAACAUAGCUUAAAUAAAGCAUUUCGCUUACACCAAAUUGACGUCUGUUAACCCGGACUGUUCUGAG
rnacentral:tRNA from 1 species